GCUUAUGGCUAUACCAUCCUGAAUGCAUCUUAUCUUGUCUGAUCUCAGAAGUUAGGCAGAGCCGAGUCUGUGUAGUACUUGGAUAGGAGGUUUAAAUUCCUGAAUCUUUGAUAAUUUCAAGCU
rnacentral:rRNA from 1 species